AUUGAACGCUGGCGGCAGGCCUAACACAUGCAAGUCGAGCGAGCGGCGGACGGGUGAGUAAUGUAUGGGGACUGCCCGAUAGAGGGGGAUAACUACUGGAAACGGUAGCUAAUACCGCAUACUAUCGGAUAACCCAUAUGGGUUUAGCUAGUAGGUGAGGUAAUGGCUCACCAAGGCGACGAUCCCUAGCUGUGCUGAGAUGAUGACCAGCCACACUGGGACUGAGACACGGCCCAGACGCCGACGGAGGCAGCAGUGGGGAAUAGUGCACAAUGGGCGCAAGCCUGAUGCAGCCAUGCCGCGUGUAUGAAGAAGGCCCUAGGGUUGUAAAGUACUUUCAGUCGGGAGGCGUGACCGACAGAAGAAGCACCGGCUAACUCCGUGCCAGCAGCCGCGGUAAUAC
rnacentral:rRNA from 1 species